GGAUUUACCUACAUACCUGAGGUAAAUCCACAAGGCACCUUGAGUUCAAACUAUGAAGUGACUCCAAGCGAAAUAUAGCAGAAAUUGGGACUUAAACGAGCUUAGAAAUAAUCUGCUUAGUGCUGGAUGAGUGUUUUCACUUUAAAUGAACACCACCAUAUUUGAGUCAUGAAAAAGUGUUGAGUAAGCAUAAGCUUGUAGCAUAAAAGAUGUUUGUGAUAAGUCACUAGAUUGUAAAGUGUUAGUCUCUGCACAUUGAUUCUCUGAUUGUUUGAAUGAUGAAGUCUCUGCACAGUCUCUAAUUGACUGAAUAAGCUCUGCAGUGACAAUAAAUGAACACCACCAUAUUUGAGUCAUGAAAAAGUGUUGAGUAAGCAUAAGCUUGUAGCAUAAAAGUAAGCAUAAGCUUGUAGCAUAAAAGAUGUUUGUGAUAAGUCACUAGAUUGUAAAGUGUUAGUCUCUGCACAUUGAUUCUCUGAUUGUUUGAAUGAUGAAGUCUCUGCACAGUCUCUAAUUGACUGAAUAAGCUCUGCAGUGACAAUAAAUGAACACCACCAUAUUUGAGUCAUGAAAAAGUGUUGAAUAAGCAUAAGCUUGUAGCAUAAAAGAUGUUUGUGAUAAGUCACUAGAUUGUAAAGUGUUAGUCUCUGCACAUUGAUUCUCUGAUUGUUUGAAUGAUGAAGUCUCUGCACAGUCUCUAAUUGACUGAAUAAGCUCUGCAGUGACAAUAAUGAAUUUCAUGGGAAGAUUUUAUUUGUAAUAAAAGAAGGUAAUAUUUUGAGUUGAUUUUACCUAUUCUGUGAAGAUCAUAGCAUGUUUAACAGCAUUCCAAACAGGCAUGUCAAUUGUUGGAUGGAUCUUGGGAUGUCCUUGAAGUGUGUUUACCAUAUGUUGUUUUUUAUUCAAAGUUAUUGUAUUGUUCAUUAUUGUAAAAGCCAAGCAACUUUUGCAACAUUGAGGAUCAUACUUUAGCUUUGGAAACAAGACAUAUGUAGUUAUGCUGAUCUUCUUUUCCAGAGUCUUUGAUUAUCACUUAAUUUCAUUCACUUUUGAUGUAGUGAAAUUCAUAAUCAUUUUUUUGACAAGCUACAUUUGAAUGUAUUGUAUAUGUAUUGUUGCCCCUUUUUACCAUGCAUAUUUAAGCUUGUAGCAUAAAAGAUGUUUGUGAUAAGUCACUAGAUUGUAAAGUGUUAGUCUCUGCACAUUGAUUCUCUGAUUGUUUGAAUGAUGAAGUCUCUGCACAGUCUCUAAUUGACUGAAUAAGCUCUGCAGUGACAAUAAAUGAACACCACCAUAUUUGAGUCAUGAAAAAGUGUUGAGUAAGCAUAAGCUUGUAGCAUAAAAGUAAGCAUAAGCUUGUAGCAUAAAAGAUGUUUGUGAUAAGUCACUAGAUUGUAAAGUGUUAGUCUCUGCACAUUGAUUCUCUGAUUGUUUGAAUGAUGAAGUCUCUGCACAGUCUCUAAUUGACUGAAUAAGCUCUGCAGUGACAAUAAAUGAACACCACCAUAUUUGAGUCAUGAAAAAGUGUUGAGUAAGCAUAAGCUUGUAGCAUAAAAGAUGUUUGUGAUAAGUCACUAGAUUGUAAAGUGUUAGUCUCUGCACAUUGAUUCUCUGAUUGUUUGAAUGAUGAAGUCUCUGCACAGUCUCUAAUUGACUGAAUAAGCUCUGCAGUGACAAUAAUGAAUUUCAUGGGAAGAUUUUAUUUGUAAUAAAAGAAGGAGACAAGAUUGAAGUGCAGCCAACACUGCAUGGUGCUUAUCACAAGAGCUGACCCAUUGCUGUUUUUCAACUCUUCUGGAAAAGAUCCCAAAAGAAGGUAACAGCUUGUUUCCUUCACCGCCACCAGUCUACCUGCUCUCUGCACACUCGGCAGAGCGCGGCAGGGCACCCCACGGAGCUGCACUAGUCACAUCCGGGCCCCACGCCGGUCGACGGCCGAUGCGAUGGAGGCACUACUCCGAGCUGGACUGGUGGCCGGCUCGGAGCUGGUGGAUGUCGACCGCGGAGCGGCGAUCUACUCCUUCCACCGGGCCCGGCAGCAGGAGCUCCAGAUGUCCUUGUGCCACCCGUCCGGCCAGGCCUCCAUCCACCUUGUAGAGGCGGAGCGGGAGACGGUGAAGCUCACGGCUCCGUUGGAACAUGGCCGCUGGGAGGCCUGCGGCGCGGACGACGGAUGCGGCAGUUGGUCAAGACACGGCAGCCUACUCGAGGUGCUUCUCGCCUGGAGGACGCAGGCGAAUCGCGUUAUCCGAGCUGUGCCUCGUCAUGGUGCGAUGAGCCUUAAUAGACUAAUGCAUAUUCUUCCUUUGGCUGUAAUUCAUUUGCUGCUGCCCGCUGGGCUAAGGAGUAACUCUGGGCGCCUACUUUGAGCAGACGCUCGUCCAGUGCCGCUCUUCGUUUGCCGCACAUAUCUUUAUUUAUUCUUUGUUACAAUUCCGUCUUUGGUCAUUUUUUUUUACAUUGGGGGCACUUGAAAGUUUUGUUUUUAAAUCUGUGGACAUUGAACCUGGAAUCGUUUUUUU